CUUAAGGGUUUUUUAAAGUCGUGUUGGAAAGGGAGAAUUAUUCUUGAGACUUAUAAAUUAAAUGAAACAGUUGACAGACCAUUAUUAUCCGAUCUUUUUAUUGAAAGGGAAUUCGAAUCAAAUUCACUCUUUAAAGUAACAAGAGCAAGAUUUUUGGAGUUAGCAGACUCGAUUUGUGAGCUUUUUCCGAAUCAAGAUCGGGAUUUGUAUUAUAUACCUUCAAGUAAAAGUAAAAAUCUUAAAACAAAUGCAAGAGGGUGUCUUUAUAACAAAUACCAGGAAUGGUGCAGGUUACUUGCAUCAGCUGGACUGAUAAAAACUGAAGAAAUUAAUUCUGAACCAUUAAAUUAUGAAGAAAACAAUGACAUUGAUUGGUUUAAAAGUAACUUAGAACCCAUUGAUGAGAUAAAAAGAAAGUGGAUAAAGACUUUUAAAAAUCGUUUAGAAUGGAAAAAAAAAU